rnacentral:rRNA from 1 species
CAGCACCUCAAGUGGUCAGGAUGAUUAUUGGGCCUAAAGCAUCCGUAGCCGGCUCUGUAAGUUUUCGGUUAAAUCUGUAUGCUCAACAUACAGGCUGCCGGGAAUACUGCAGAGCUAGGGAGUGGGAGAGGUAGACGGUACUCGGUAGGAAGGGGUAAAAUCCUUUGAUCUAUCGAUGACCACCUGUGGCGAAGGCGGUCUACCAGAACACGUCCGACGGUGAGGGAUGAGAGCUGGGGGAGCAAACCGGAUUAGAUACCCGAGUAGUCC